GAGAGACCGCAUGCACACGUCCUGAAAACGCUACUACUCUGCAGCGUUUUGUUUUGUCGCCUUCGCCCAUCGACCAUCGCCGGGUCGGGCUCUCGUUCCCAGCACGCACUAUUGUGCAGGGCCAACAGGUGGCCGACACCUAUCCUGGUACGACCCCACCACUUAAACAACCGGUAUCUUUCUAAUUGCAGUUAGCUUCCAGAAAAUCAGCAAAACCACAUGUUUCCCUCCCGCGUAACAACAGAUUGCCGCCAAAAUCUCUUCGUGGCUUCAUCCAUACUCUCAUACCAAUCUGUUCCAUUGUUAAUUGUUGCCCCUGGAUCAAAGGAAAAUAUAUAGAUCAAGUUUGAUAGGAAAUUGUCCUCUCCGUGGAUCAACAUCUACCGUGUUCUUUAGCAUGGACGGAGCUCCUGCCACUUCAUCGUCCGCUCCUGCCACUUCAUCGUCCGCAGGUAUGUUCUUGCGCCUGGGAUGUACAGAUUGUCAACACUCUUGAUCAUACGAAGGUGAUAAGAUUGAAAGAAACAAACAAAGAAAGAGUUGAAUCUAUGACAUGCAAAUUACUCCCAGUACUUCAUCUUCCGUAGCCCUGUUUCUUUCAAACACAUGCAAAUUAAUCCUUCAGAAUUGCAUUAUAAUUAUGUUAGUGAUGAUUACUCCUAUGAUGUUGCGCACAUUAUGCAUCAGAGUACCACCUAAGUUUAUUAUAAAUUUUACUGCCUGAGAUUCUCCUUUGACAUAUUCUCUUUUUUGCUAACUCUAAUGAUAGAGAUUACUAUAUCAAAGAAAAAGAUCAAUAUUUUGCUAAUGCUCCCGUGAAUACCAUGUGUUGUUUUCAAAAAAAAAUAGCUCUAUCUUUAAGCGCUUUUCAGGUUUCACUAAAACCAGGACUGUGAAUAUCGUGUGAACUUUUACUCCAUGUGUCGUCCGUGAACUAAUUAGUAUAUGAUAUUUUUUUAUGUUGUGUAGAUCAUGACACCAAAAAUGUGGGAGAGGCAGGUCGAAACACAGAUGAUGAUUACAGCAAAAGGUUAAAACCAGAGAUAGGAAUGGAAUUUGAGGAUGAAGAGAUAGCAUAUGAGUUUUAUAAUGCAUAUGCAGGUCAUACUGGUUUCAGUGUCAGGAAAUUUUGGCAUGAUAAAUCCUCAACGAAUGUUAUUCGAACAAAAUUUGUAUGCUCAAAGGCAGGUUUCAAGGACAAGAGCAAGGAACAAUGCCAGCGGAAGCGAGCAGAUACAAGAGUUGGGUGUCCGGUAGAGAUGACCAUCAAAAUAAGUGCUAAUGGAAAAUAUGUUGUAAGCAACUUUGAGGAUGCUCAUAAUCAUGAACUCGUAACUCCAAGCAAAGCCCAUCUACUGCGAUCUCAAAGAAGAAUUACAGAAGCUCAGAAGGCCCAGAUUGACAUAUUGAAUGAUUCUGGUAUUAGACCAAAAUCUGGUCAUGAAGUGAUGAGUAGACAAGCAGGGGGUAGGCGAUGUCUUAGCUUUGGUCAAAAGGAUUAUAAAAAUUAUCUCCGAUCAAAGCGUAUGCAGUCAAUCCAAGAAGGAGAUACAGGUGCCAUUCUUCAAUACCUACAGGACAAGCAGAUGGAAAAUCCUUCCUUUUUUUAUGCUAUACAAGUAGAUGAAGAUGAGAUGAUAACCAAUAUAUUCUGGGCAGAUGCAAGAUCAAUAUUAGAUUAUCACUACUUUGGUGAUGUGGUAUGCUUUGACACAACCUUUAAGACAAAUAGUUAUGGCAGACCAUUUGCCCCUUUUGUUGGUGUCAACCAUCAUAAACAAACAGUGGUUUUUGGAGCUGCAUUAUUGUAUGAUGAAACAUCUGAGACGUUUGAAUGGUUGUUUGAAACAUUCAAAAGGGCCAUGUCAGGAAAAGAACCGAAGACAAUAUUGACCGAUCAAUGUGCUGCCAUUAUUAGUGCCAUUGGCAAGGUUUUUACUAACUCAAUACAUCGUCUAUGUGUGUGCCACAUGUAUCAGAACGCUGCAAAACAUUUGAGUCAUGUUUUUCAAGGUUCCAAGACAUUUAAGAAAGAUUUUGGCAAGUGUGUUUAUGAUUUUGAAGAAGUUGAUGAAUUCAUAGCAGGUUGGAAUGAUAUGCUAGUGAAAUAUAAUUUGGAAGAUAAUGACUGGCUACAUAGAUUAUUCCAGAACAAGGAGAAGUGGGCUUUGGUUUAUGGUCGACAAACCUUUUGUGCAGAUAUGAUAUCCACACAAAGAAGCGAGAGUAUGAAUGCACUAUUGAAACGAUACCUGCAUGUUCGCCUUGAUUUAUUAGAUUUCUUCAAGCACUAUGAGAGGGCCGUGGAUGAUAGAAGGUAUGCUGAAGUGGAAAGUGAUUUCUAUGCGAGUCAAACAUCACCAAAGGUGCCAUAUGUGCAGAUGCUUAUACAAACAUCGAAAGUAUAUACACCUGCUAUGUUUGAGAUAUUUAAAGGAGAAUUUGACAUGGUAAUGGGAUAUUGUGUGUACGAGAGUGGUCGUACUGGCUCUAUUUCUUAUAACAUUUUGAGCAAAGCAGCAGCAAACAAAGAGGCAUAUGCACUACUGCAAAGUAUGUCAAUUGAACUAAUGGAAAAGGUGGACCAAAUUUUACAUGGAAAUCAAUCAAAAGAUAUAUCACCAAAUCAUGAACAAGCAGAGAAGCAACCAGUUGAAUGCAACAUUGAGAAUGUAGUCACAGAGAAGCAACCAGUUGAGUGCAACCUUGAGAAUGUAGUCACGGUACAGGGAAUAAAGAGAAAAGAACAAGGAAAUAGCAACAAGAGGAUUAAUUCUGGACUGGAGCUGAACAAUAAGAAUAAAUGUAAUAAAAAAGGUAUGGUAUUCCUCAAGAAAUAGCUAAAUAAAUAUCUGGUCAUGUUAUUGAAAUAGAUCUGACAAAUUGUUUUGCAAAUAGGUCAAGGAACAACAUGCAAGAAUAAGAGUGGUGAUUGUGCUUCUGCAUCAUCUGGACCAAAUCCUAGCUUCAGCAUAUCAGAUGAGAACUAUAAUUUGCAAGUAUUACAGCAUGCUAUGCCUCCACUACCAAAUGCUGCUAAUUACAAUUUGCAAGUAUUGCAGCAUGCUAUGCCUCCACUACCAAAUGUUGCGAAUUACAAUCUGCAAGUAUUGCCGCCCGCUAUGCCUUCGGCACCACAAGCUGUUUCCUCAUUACCACAUGCACAUAAUUAUAAUUUGCAUGUACUGCCGGGUACUAUGACAUCGGUACCACGACCUGAGAACUAUAAUUUGCAAGUAUUACAGCAUGGCUUGCCUCCGCUAUCGCCGGCAAGCACUACUAGUUUUCAACAGUUACUUGGCUUGCGACCACAACAACCAUAUGUCUAUCAUAGCAUUCAACCGAGUCAGGUAUGUUUAUUUAGUUAUUUUUUAAAAUUAAGACGAGCAUGCACGGGUCAUUUACUUUUUGAUUAACACUACAUGUAGACUUAUGUGGUGUCAUCGGACUCCGGAUGGCCAACAUCUCAUAAUCACCAGCCGCCAACUAGCACUCAACCAAGUCAGGUAGAAUUUUAUUAGUUAAUCGCUAGAAAUUAAAAUGAACAUGCACAUGUCAUUUGCUUGUAUUGACUUUUGAAUCAACAUUGUAUGUAGAGUUCCCAAAUGCUAUCAGACUCGGGAUGGCCAACAUCUCAAAAAUGACCAGCUGCCAAUUCAGGUAUUGUUCACUUGCAAGUCAUAUUCCCAAUUGAAGUUUAUAUCUCCUAAGAAAUCAUUUCUUUGUUCUUUCAGGUCUUGGGUAGCCAAUGAAGUCACAUACAAGAUAAACACUUUUAAAUAGCUCUAUGUAAACUUUGUAUCCAGGAUUGCUCUACAAGACAGUUCCCUUGAGAUGUAAUAAUUUAUCUUACUGUUCCUUUUGAUGUUAGAUGCGCAAUGGUUUUAUGCUCAAAUAAAAAUAUAUACAUGAAUAUGGAUUAGUUGUUGGUUAUUCCUUUUGAUAAGUUAGAUGCGUAACUGAGGUUUGGUUUUCUAGUUAAAUGUGGUCUUAUAGGCACUAAAUUCAUUAAAAGGUGCUUUCACCAAUUUGUGAUUUCCCCUGUACUGUAUGACUAAAGAGCAGAGGAGAGUAGAUAGCUUGCAUACUUCAGAGUUCAGUACAUAGCUACUAGUAGUACAGAGCUACUCCCUCCGUCCCAUAAUAUAAGAGCGUUUUUGACAUUACACUAGUGUAAAAAACACUCUUAUAUUAUGGGACUGAGGGAGUAGUACAUUGCUACCAGUAAAGAGCUCGCAUACGUAUAUAGCUGAAAGCUAAUUAGGUACUAGCACAAAGGUAGAUGAAGCAGUGAAUCAUCUCUCACCUUUGCCUGUUGAGCUUGCAUCGAGUUCGCAUCUUCCACUGUGAUCAUCCAACCUCCCGCGGAAUCUCGGCCACCGGCUGCACGCGCUGCAGUUCCACCAUGCCACCAUCUUACAGGGAGCGGGUCAGCCACAACCUUUGGCUGGCCUUGAGUGUGCCGGAGCCGGACGACAACAGCCGCGA
rnacentral:lncRNA from 1 species